rnacentral:rRNA from 1 species
GAUGAACGCUAGCUGGAGGCUUAAUACAUGCAAGUCGAGCGGGAUUGGGUAGCAAUACCCAUGAGAGCGGCGCACGGGUGAGUAACGCGUACACGACCUACCUCUAACAGGGGGAUAGCCCUGGGAAACUGGGAUUAAUACCGCAUAUUAUUCUGAAUAAUAAAGGUUUGGAAUGAAAGCUGAGGCGGUUAGAGAUGGGUGUGCGUCUGAUUAGCUAGUUGGUAGGGUAACGGCCUACCAAGGCGAUGAUCAGUAGGGGGCGUGAGAGCGUGGUCCCCCACACGGGUACUGAGACACGGACCCGACUCCUACGGGAGGCAGCAGUAAGGAAUAUUGGUCAAUGGGCGAGAGCCUGAACCAGCCAUCCAGCGUGCAGGAAGAAGGCCCUAUGGGUUGUAAACUGCUUUUAUCAGGGAAGAAACCUCUGGAUUUACUCCGGAGCUGACGGUACCUGAAGAAUAAGCACCGGCUAACUCCGUGCCAGCAGCCGCGGUAAAAC